GGAUGCGUUCAUUCCAGCACUAACACACCGGAUCCCAUCAAAACUCCGAAGUUAAGCGUGCUUGGGCGAGAGUAGUACUAGGAUGGGUGACCCCCCUGCGAAGUCCUCGUUUUGCAUCCC